rnacentral:rRNA from 1 species
AUACGGAGGGUGCAAGCGUUACUCGGAAUUACUGGGCGUAAAGGACGCGUAGGCGGUUUUUAAAGUCAGAUGUGAAAGCCUAUGGCUUAACCAUAGAACUGCAUCUGAAACUCCUAGACUAGAGUGAGGGAGAGGUCAGUGGAAUUAGUGGUGUAGGGGUAAAAUCCGUAGAGAUCACUAGGAAUACUCAUAGCGAAGGCGACUGACUGGAACUUUACUGACGCUGAGGCGUGAAAGCGUGGGGAGCAAACAGGAUUAGAUACCCCAGUAGUCC